CGCCACUGGAAAUCAAUAGCACUUAAUUUGGUUUGACAGUGUCCUUUAUUCUUAAGCUAAGUGGGAAGUAGGAAGUUCUACCACUACAUUGUUCUUGUUUUAAAAAAAUAACCCAGGCUUUGACUCUUGCACUCUGUUCCAGAAUGCAUGGUUAAUGCUGCAGCUGCCCUAAUGUCCAGUAGUUCAGUGAGCUGCUAACAGCUGCCCUAUAUAGUCUAUGAUGGUACUUAUUCUGAAGGAAGGUGUUAAAUCCCAGUCAGCAUGGCCACUGGUUAGGGGAUGAUAGGACCUCUGGAAGAUCACAGGUUCCCAACCCUUGGAAAGCAUGUGACAGUAUUGCUUUUGUAUAGACAAAUCAGAUGCCGUUUCAAGGAACACAUUUUCUUUCUAGUUAUAUAUAUAAAUAGAAAUAUAUAUAUAUGAGACAAACCUUGUUCCUGCCAUUGUCCAGAUUUAAUGCUGCAUCAGUGAGUCAGUUGCACUAGCAAUCCUUUCAAUCAUCUCUGCAGCAGUGUCUGACGACUGCUGCAGGUAUUUAAGAGAGCUGGUCAGCAUUCACAAUAUAGUUCCUUUUUUUCCUUUUUUAAAAUAUGUGAUCUUUGGAAUAUAUCAUGCCUAUGCGGGCUGGGGACAGACUUUAUUUGUUUGAAUGUAAGUCCUUGUGGUGGUAUUGAAGUUAGCAAAGGUACUACCACCAGCAUACCAGUACUUAAUUGCUGGUUGGUUCCUUUUAUGUAUUAUUGGCAUGUGUGCAUUUGCAAAUCACUGCAAACCAAAGCUUUUCUACCCCUGUACACAGCCCAAAGUGAUAUUUAUCUAGCUUAGAGACUGUUAAUUGUUGUCCAAUUUUUAAGCUUUGCUGGACAUAACAACUUCCAUGUGCAACCCAAGAGGCUUUGUGAGCAGAAAUAUUUUUAAGGGUGCCAAUGAAACUGUGUGAUGUAAGAGUUAUGCUUAGUAGCCUCUGUGGAAUUUCAAGGGCUCACUCCUGGGUUUGCAAGGUACAUCAGUCCUUGUGGUGGUGGGGGGGGGGAGCAAAAUGUGCAGGUCUGAUAACUAGCUGCAGGGGCUAGUGAGUGCUUUAUUGGGCAUUGCCUGACUCAUGUUCAGUGUUGAUGUAAAGACUUAGCCCUGCUGACAUAGCAAGGAGAUUCUAGUACAGCAGCAAAAUUUGAAAAGUGAUCCAUACCUCAGGGAAAAUCUUACAGGUUUUAAAUGAAAGGUGGAGAUGUAUAUAACAACUGAUCCAAAAUCCGACUUUAUGCAGGAGCUAGGAGAAAGAUCAUUUGGUAUGGAAAAUACUCUAUUACACACUUACAUAAAUUCAUCUGAAACUUUCAGAAAUGAAAGCCAUUGGAAGAAAUGUUGCUACUUAAAAAAGAAAUGUGUGUUUAUGCAUAAUGCGUUGGAAACUGGAAUUGGCUUUUACAUUGCAGUGCCACAUAUUUCAUUUCUUCUCAGCAUAUACUUAAUAAUGCUAAAUGUGUUAGAUUCUACUUUGUAGAUGGUGGAGGCACCCCAUCAACCCCUCCCUGGCUUAAUCUCUUAAUGGAAAAACAUUCUUAUGCUAUCCAUUGAACUGACCAGAAUUGGCCUUUAGGCAAAGUAUAGAGCAAAUACUCAUGAAAACUUGGAGGAAUCUGUCACAAGAAAAAGCUACGCCUGAAACGGUGCAGCAUUCACAAGGCAGUGACCACACUGACCUUCACACUGUGUCCUGCAGAUUGAUAUGGGAACUUCUAGGAAGAAGCUUGAUAAUGUGGACCUGCAUCAUCUGAUAGAAUGGUUUGACAAGCCUCAAGCCUAGUCUUUUGUGUGCUGUGCUUUGCAAUUGUACAGUUAAAUUGUACAAUUAAAGCAGAAGAAAUGGAAUCUAGAAUGCGUACAAAAGAUGGACAACAUUGGUGGGUAUGGUGCAUCAGUUAUGGUAGGCUGCUUCAGUGCGGAAGAAUAUCUGUCAGUCGUGAUUAUUCAUGUGGGCAUAACCACUCUAUUCUGGAGAUUACAAUUACAGAAAGAAACGGAAACAUUGCGACUACCUCAAAUACGAACUUUGAAUACAGCAGCGAGUUCAUAUGUAAAGACUGCCAUGCAAAAAACCCCUCUCUCCACGGAAGUUUGGUUGCUCACUACAAUGCUAGAAGAAUUGAUUGAACCUUAAGCAGUAAAAUUAGGACACAGUUUGGCUUUGAUGGAAUGAAUCUAGGAAUUGUUCUUAUGUCCUCAUUCCCAAGGAUAAAGAAGUUCUCUGCUUCACAAGAGGCCAGCUUGCUAAAGAAAAAUAAAAGUGAUUGUGAAAUCGCAGGCUGAAAUUGGAGCUGGACCCAGAUUCUUUGUCAAAUUGUGCUCUUGAAAUGUCAGCGAUUCUUUAACAUUGCUCUGCUUCGCAGAACAUGUGGAUGGCAGCUACGGAUGCAAAAACCUCCACAGGGAGCAGCACAUUUCCCAAGACACUACCUCCAGCCAUUUUCAUGUCAGAUUUGUGAGGUCUACACGCUAGAUCUGAAAGUAGGGCUUGGAAACUUGAAAAGUUCAUUCUUAUGAUAAGGCUUUUGAUGAUAUCCUUAAAUGUUGCUGGGUGUAAGUACAAGAUGGUAUCGAGGCUUCCAUGCAGUACAGCUUGCCUAUGCUAUAAAUGUGGCUUGGCACACAUAGCAUCAUGCAGUGAUUGCCAGGGCAACGGAUGUGGGAUCCAAAGGUGCCUUGCUUAAGCAAACAAAAAAACUUCAAUCUGCAUCAAGCAGGGGAAGAUCAUAUCCCGAACUAUUCCCAAUAACCCUGCCCCCCGAAACCAGAGUUGGUGGAGCAGAUAAUUCUUGCUCUGUGAUGGAAAACUGCUUGUAGUUCUCUGGAUCAAAGCCAUGGUUGGCUGAUCUGAUGAAACUUGACACCAGAUCGUGCAGCAUAAUAAAGUAUCACCAGUUUGUUAAUUUUGUAGAGUGAAUUUUAUGGAGAUUUCAUAAAUACUUCGAAUGAAAUAUGUAUUUCAUGUUAAAAUUUGCCCUUUGUUUAAACUAUGAUCACCACAUAUUAGCACUGGAGUUUUGGAUAGAUGAUAUAUAUAUACCUUCACCUUUCAUUUAAGUACUUCUGUACUCCCCCUCCACCACCCCUGGUCUAAACCACCAAAAGUUGUAUUUCUGUGGCUUCAAAGUUUGCAGCUGAAGGGAACGAGGUGAGUCUUUAGGUCAGUAUAUUAGGCCAAAGUAUUUCUUGUGCCAUAGCAAACCAGAACAUUGCAGAGUUUACGGGAGAAGUAGUCCAUUUUAUUCCAAAUAAUUCAGAACAAAACUUCUCCCUUGGCUAUCUUGGUUCGGUGUAAGUCAGACAUGCAUCCAAGUGAGCAGGACUUAAGAUUUCUAAACUGCUGGUUACUGAGAAACUUAGCAUCAAAAGCAUUUUAUUUAUCUUGCGUAUGCCAACUUUUUCUGCAUUUCUAAAAUAAGAGUACUUGACAAAACUAAUGCUAUUGGAAGUAGCUGGAGUCAGGUGAAAGGGGUCUUGUAUAGGAAGAAGGGUUAUUUUAAUAUACAUAUUUUUUAAUGGAUUUGACCUCCUCUCUCCUUAAUAAGAAAGGAAUAACUACAAAAGGUUACUGAAAUUCUCUCUGGCUAUUUGACUGUAAUGCAUUCAAACCCUGUUGGUAAAGGAUGUCUCCCUCCUGAGACCCCUCCUAGGCUGUCAGACACUGAACAAAUUCACAGACUAGUUUAAUAUCAGAGGUUGAACUACUCACAAACUCUGUUUUUAAAAGGAUUGUCCCAGUAUUGAAUACCACCACACACCCACACACACCAUGGGCACAUAAUCAUGACCUAAAAUAAAAGGUUUGUGCUUUCUUUUUGGAACAGGGUAUGUAAUCUGUCUAAAUUUCACAUGGCUUGCUGUUUGUUAGUAUCACAAUUUUAAAGCUUGAUAAUGUUUGUCCAAAAGUGGAAACUUGAUUAAUUGCAACCCAAACGUGCUCAGCCUGCCAUCUGUACCUUGCACCAUUUUCUUAAGAAAAUGUCACUGUAAGUUAUGGGGAAGAGAUGUUGGUUAAAGCAGGCUUUUGCUUUUAAAAAAGCUAAUAAUAAUGAUGAUAAUAAUGAUGAUGAUGUAUAUCUACCCUUUGGAUCUAAUGUACAUUUUUUUAUGCAGCUGUCAAAUUCUCUAUUUAAUCCCUUGGUUUCUCUGUAAAUGUUUUUACUCUCUGUUUGAAUGCUGGGCACAGUUUGUAACGUAUGUACACAACGGUGUUUUUUUCUAUCAAUGUUGACUCUUUUGCACAUUUUUUGAAAUUGUUUAAUUUGUACACUGUUUUAAUACUCUGACCAACUGUUAUGGAGUGUAUGUGGAUUAUGUAUGUGUGCAAUGUACUACUGUUUUGAAUGAGGAUUUUUAGAUUCCGUAUAAAUGCGUGUCCACUUCUGGCUUUACCUUGGUUGAGGAACUCAGGACAUUAGCUUUGCUUACUAGUUCCCCCACAAUAGUCCAAAUCCAGCAACUUGGUUGUACCUGCAGAGCUUUGACACAGAUACUGAACUCUGUGUGAAUAGGGACUUCCCAGUUCACUCCAUGCUAUUUGGGGCUCCUGCCAGUUGACCAGUCAAAUAUGGUCAAGUUGACCACCAUCUAACAUCAUGAAUUCAAUGUAACAGUUAACUUGGUUCUGUUUUGUAGCUAGUGCAUUUCUGAAUCCUUGCCCAUUAUUUGGCUGGAAUGCUAGCCAGAUUCCAAAUGCUUUUUCACUGAUGUGCAGAGUGCACACACCCAGCUUCUCAGAAGCAUAGCGUGAACAGGAACAGGGAAGCCACUGCUUAAUAGAGCUUCAAAUAUGUGUCAGAUCCUCUGCGGAGUUUGGAUUGUGGUAAAUGUGUCUAAGAACUUUCCAAAUAUAGGGUACAUAAAAAUGCCUUCUAUGUACUGUCUGUCCUGUUUCCCACAGACCUAUUCCAGUUUCAUUUCUACAUGUUUUUUUAAAAAUUGUUUUUUAAAGGUACUGCAUUUAGUUAGAUGAAUAUAUAAAAGCUUUGAGAGAUAAUUUACUAGAUAAAUAUAUUUUCAGCUGGCUGAUGUUCAGAAAAUAUUUUAUUUUUUGUUUUUAACCAUUCAAAAUGUAUUUGUAUUUCCAAAAUUAGACAUGAAUUGUAUAUUAAAACACUCUGGCUGGAUAAUGGUAUGGUUUGUCUUGUAAGGUUUCUCUCUCUCUCUCUCUCUCUUUUUUAAGAGCUAAAAAUGUUUCUGUGAUACAGAGAAUAAUAAUACUGUUCUGAAAAGCUGAAGGCAAUCUUUCAAUUUAGAGCUGCUUGAGAAAAUUGAGACACAAAACCAAUCUUAGAAAAGUCAGAUGUUUUUAUUGCCUGUUCUUUUUUGUUACAUUGAAUGUAAUGUUUCCCUCUUGAUCUUAAAGCUUUCCUUAUUUUCUGGUACUGGGAAAAAAUAAAGCAUGUUGAAGGUACUAGCAGAAUACCAAUUUGCCAGCCUAGUUCAUGGCUUGAAGGAUUAUUUGUAUGAUUCUUAAGACUUGCCAACAAAAAAUUCUCAUGUUGGGUAAAUAGCACACUGGUGGAUAUCAAAAACCAACAGUUAGGAAAAGCGGUAUUCUCUCUUUCUUUCUCUCUUUCUUUUUUUAAAGAGCCUACUAAUAGCCUGGUAUGGUGUGGUAUGUUCCAUUGUUCAUGCACAUUUUGACCUUGUCAUAGUCUCAAAAGUGUGCUUGUACAAAAUGUAUAAAAGCAUUUUGAUUUUUUAAAAACAACAACAACAACUAUGUAUUUACCUGUCAUUUUUUUGCUGGUAAAUGGCUUUUAUUUUAUUUGGGUUUUUUUAUCGAUUAUAAAAAGAAGCCAUGUUUAUAUUCUGUGUUUGACCAAAUUACUUCUGUUUUAUGAAAUUUGUAUAUUGGUGGUACACAUCUUUGUGUAGGAUGAUUGUGCAUGAGGACCUGCAAGAAUUAAUACAAUGAAAGAUUGGAGGUUGUUUUUUUUUUCUUCCAAGUUAAUUCUGGAAAGGUUAUGGUGCAAAGGUUUACUGGAUGUAACCUUAUGAGCUUAUGGAAUGACUAUAGAGAAUGGCACUUCUAAGUGUUAAUAAAACAAAUAUUUAUUUCCA